CUAUACAUGCAAGUCGAGCGAAUUGUUGAGUUUACUCAACAAUUAGCGGCGGACGGGUGAGUAACACGUGGGCAACCUGCCUAUAAGACUGGGAUAACUUCGGGAAACCGGAGCUAAUACCGGAUAUGUUCUUUUCUCGCAUGAGAGAAGAUGGAAAGACGGUCUCGGCUGUCACUUAUAGAUGGGCCCGCGGCGCAUUAGCUAGUUGGUGAGGUAAUGGCUCACCAAGGCAACGAUGCGUAGCCGACCUGAGAGGGUGACCGGCCACACUGGGACUGAGACACGGCCCAGACUCCUACGGGAGGCAGCAGUAGGGAAUCUUCCGCAAUGGACGAAAGUCUGACGGAGCAACGCCGCGUGAACGAUGAAGGCUUUCGGGUCGUAAAGUUCUGUUGUUAGGGAAGAACAAGUACCAGAGUAACUGCUGGUACCUUGACGGUACCUAACCAGAAAGCCACGGCUAACUACGUGCCAGCAGCCGCGGUAAUACGUAGGUGGCAAGCGUUAUCCGGAAUUAUUGGGCGUAAAGCGCGCGCAGUGGUUCUUUAAGUCUGAUGUGAAAGCCCCCGGCUCAACCGGGGAGGGUCAUUGGAAACUGGGGAACUUGAGUGUAGAAGAGGAAAGUGGAAUUCC
rnacentral:rRNA from 1 species